rnacentral:rRNA from 1 species
GUGAAUCAUCGAAUCUUUGAACGCAUCUUGCGCUCCUUGGUAUUCCUUGGAGCAUGCCUGUUUGAGUAUCAUGAGCAAAUCUCAAAGUCAAUUCCUUUUGUUAAUUCAAUUGGUUUUGCUUUGGACUUGGAGGUCUUGCAGAUUUCACAGUCUGCUCCUCUUAAAUCCAUUAGCUGGAUCUCAGUAAUUAUGCUUGGUUCCACUCGGCGUGAUAAGUAUCACUCGCUGAGGACACUGUUAAAAAGGUGGCCAGGAAAAUACUGAUUGAACCGCUUCUAACGGUCUAUUAAGUUAGACAAUUGACCCUUAAGUUUGAUCUCAAAUCAGGUAGGACUACCCGCUGAACUUAAGCAUAUCAAUAAGCGGAGGAAAAGA